rnacentral:rRNA from 1 species
AUGGGUGAUUCUGCUCUUUUCUGGACUAAUUCCUGGCACAUUGGGGGCUCUGCUAGACCCCUCUGUUGGAGAUUGCCAAGGUUGUUUUCUUUUGUCAAUAAUGACAGGAUCUCUGUGAGGGAAUUUCUCCAAUCCCAGGAUCUUUUCUCCAUGUUUUAUUUGCCUCUUUCUCGGGAAGCUGCUGCUGAGUUGCACAUACUGGAAAGUUGGAUCAUGCAGUUAGACAGAGACCCCACCUUACCUGAUGUUUGGAUAUGGCCUGGUCAAUCAGGAGGGUAUACUGCGAAAAGUUUUUACAGGAUCAUGCACUCCCACUUGCCUACAAUACAACCCUGCAAAUGGCUUUGGUAG